AAACUCAAAUGAAUUGACGGGGAGCACCACAACGGGUGGAGCUUGCGGUUUAAUUGGAUUCAACGCCGGAAAUCUUACCGGGACCGACAGCAAUAUGAAGGCCAGGCUGAAGACUUUGCCGGAUUAGCUGAGAGGUGGUGCAUGGCCGUCGUCAGUUCGUACUGUGAAGCAUCCUGUUAAGUCAGGCAACGAGCGAGACCCACGUCCACAGUUGCCAGCAUACCCUCCGGGGUGAUGGGUACACUGUGGAGACCGCCGCUGCUAAAGCGGAGGAAGGAAUGGGCAACGGUAGGUCAGUAUGCCCCGAAUCUCCCGGGCUACACGCGGGCUACAAUGGUUGGUACAAUGGGCAUCUACCCCGAAAGGGGAAGGAAAUCUCUUAAAGCCAAUCGUAGUUCGGAUUGAGGGCUGCAACUCGCCCUCAUGAAGCUGGAAUCCGUAGUAAUCGCGUUUCAACAGAACGCGGUGAAUACGUCCCUGCUCCUU
rnacentral:rRNA from 1 species